rnacentral:rRNA from 1 species
UACAGAGGGUGCGAGCGUUAAUCGGAAUUACUGGGCGUAAAGCGUGCGCAGACGGUCACGUAAGUCGGGUGUGAAAGCCCCGGGCUCAACCUGGGAAUUGCAUUCGAGACUGCGUGGCUAGGGUGCGGAAGAGGGAAGCGGAAUUUCCGGUGUAGCGGUGAAAUGCGUAGAUAUCGGAAGGAACACCAGUGGCGAAAGCGGACUUCCUGGUCCAGC